GGAUUGAGCCGAGAUAUUUAAAAUAAUUAUUUUGGGGCAAUCCUACUCCAUCCAAAUUAAAUCAUUCACUAUCACCAGUUCAGCUCUCUCUGAACUUGCAGUGCAUGUAUUCUGUUUUCGUUCUACUUAACUUAAAGCCCUUUAACUCUAGAGUACUUCUCCAAAAUUCUUCUCCAAAAUUCUAAUUUUUUUUUCUGAUGGCUCUUUCUCGCGUCUCAUCUAUCAAAACUCGCGUCUCAUCUAUCAAAACUAUAUCAUCUACAAACAAAAUUCCCGCCCAUGCACUGAAUGUCAGUGUACCAAUGUUAUAACAAAGAAACAAAAUCUCAGCAUCUGAAGACAUGAAACCCAAUCUUUUCCCUCUGAAUUUGGUUGAUCACAUAUUGGCAUCACCAAUUCUUCCAAUUGCCUAUCACCUGUAAACUCAGAAUGAGGAAUUUCAUGUGAUACCUCUCGCUUCUCAGAGCAUAAAGAUCUCAACUUCUACAAGAAAACAAAAUAAAAACCACUAAUCAACUUAGCAGCAUUUCUCCUCCGACAUCAGUCUUCUCUAAAUUUUAUAAUUUAAUCAUUUUUCCAAGAAAAUCACAAAAUUCUGCUUAAUUAGCUAUAAUUGAAAUCAUAAACUAAUUCAUCAUCAAAUUUAAAAAAUAAAAAAAACCGUGCAACGAUUUUUAUAUACGAAAGCACCUUAUCUGGAGAAGUAGAUAGAUAACCAGUGAAGGAGAGCUUCCAUUAAGUGAAAAUGGUGUUCUUAGAGGGUUCAAAGCCCUAAGACCGGGAAUAGGAAGCAAGAGAUCAGAGCGGCAGCGACGCGCCAGAAAGUGGCAAAAGCCAUGAUGGAAUGGCAAAGCCGAGUUGGCUGGAAUCCAGAGGUCUAGAAGGCGUAGUGUGUGCGUCAGAUAGAGAAAUGAACUUGUUUGGAGAUUAGUCGAUACAUCUGAUAGAGAAAGAUGGAGUGAUUGGAAGAUGGUUGUUUU
rnacentral:misc_RNA from 1 species